rfam:Ciona savignyi cont_6496, whole genome shotgun sequence.
AAGGUCAUACUUUUAGGGAUCAUUUCUAUAGUGUGCAUCUUGAAAACGUCAUCAAAUUAUGACGAAUCCUCAACUACGAUGAUGAGUUGUAGGGAUUCCUUCUGAGCAUGAAGCUUGGUUCGUUAUAUCUUCGGAUGUUGCGAACUAUUGAGGAUUGUUCUUUGAUUUUCAUUUGAAGAUCUAAGAGGAAGGAUCUCUGGCUGAGUAGU